rnacentral:rRNA from 1 species
GACGAACGCUGGCGGCGUGCCUAAUACAUGCAAGUCGAGCGGACGGAUGGGAGCUUGCUCCCAGACCGUCAGCGGCGGACGGGUGAGUAACACGUGGGCAACCUGCCUGUAAGACUGGGAUAACUCCGGGAAACCGGGGCUAAUACCGGAUAACUCUUUCCCUCCCAUGAGGGAAAGCUGAAAGAUGGCAUCUCGCUAUCACUUACAGAUGUGCCCGCGGCGCAUUAGCUAGUUGGUGAGGUAACGGCUCACCAAGGCGACGAUGCGUAGCCGACCUGAGAGGGUGAUCGGCCACACUGGGACUGAGACACGGCCCAGACUCCUACGGGAGGCAGCAGUAGGGAAUCUUCCGCAAUGGACGAAAGUCUGACGGAGCAACGCCGCGUGAGUGAUGAAGGUUUUCGGAUCGUAAAACUCUGUUGUCAGGGAAGAACAAGUACCGGAGUAACUGCCGGUACCUUGACGGUACCUGACCAGAAAGCCACGGCUAACUACGUG